CAAAAGGGGACCUGGCCUCAUCUUAUCAGCGGGGGGUGAGGUGGCUUAUGUCUGGGCCUAUGCCUGAUGGACGGGGAUCCCUACUGAAAGCUGUACCGCUACCGUCCUACGUCACAAAACCAGGGAUCGUCAGACUCUGCCCUCUUGCAUUAGCCUGUGUCCGAAUAGCUUUUUCUUGUGGUAGGGGUAUAGGCUCGCCACGAUCAGUAUCCGGUCCUAGACGAAGAUCAUCACCACUGGGACUGAAACUGAGACCCGACCCCUACUCCUAGCGGAAGUGGGGAAGAUUAAAAUUGGGCAAUGGGCCCGAUCCUGACGCGCCCCUGCCGCGUGUAUGGCCAUAGGGUUCUGGUUGUAUUUUACUUUCGACAGCGCUAGACGAUGAAGAGAGUCUAAAACUAUUACCUUUGGCAUUCAGUUGACCGGUAACUCGCAGAACUAAAGCACGGGCUUAACUCCUGUGCCCAGCAGCCGCGGUAAUACAAAGGGUGCGGUGCAAGCGUUAAUCGGGAAUUUAAUGGGCUGUAAAUAUGCGCACGCAGGCGGUUUGUUAAGUUCAGACGUGAUAAUCCCUCGAGCUCAACUUGGCAAUUGCCAGUUGCCUGCAUACUGAGGCAGGCUAGAUUGAGUCACAUGGGAGAGGGGGGUAGAAUUCCAGUGUGUAGCAGUGAAAUGCAUAGAGAUCUGAAGGAAUACCGGUGGCGAAGGCGGCCCCCCGGCCGAACAAUGACUGACACGCACGAGCGAAAGCGUGGGGGAACAAGACAGGAUUACAUACGCCUGGUAAUCCACCGCCAAUAAACGAAUAUCGAACUUGCCAGGUGGUGUCCAUUGAUGGCGUGGCCUUCCGCAGCUAACGCGUUAAGUAGACCGCCUGGGGAGUACGGCCGCAAGGUUAAAACUCAAAUGAAUUGACGGGGGCCCGCACAAGCGGUGGAGCAUGUGGUUUAAUUCGAUGCAACGCGAAGAACCUUACCUGGCCUUGACAUCCACGGAACUUUCCAGAGAUGGAUUGGUGCCUUCGGGAAUCGUGAGACAGGUGCUGCAUGGCUGUCGUCAGCUCGUGUUGUGAAAUGUUGGGUUAAGUCCCGCAACGAGCGCAACCCUUUUCCUUUGUUGCCAGCGGUCCGGCCGGGAACUCAAAGGAGACUGCCAGUGACAAACUGGAGGAAGGUGGGGAUGACGUCAAGUCAUCAUGGCCCUUACGACCAGGGCUACACACGUGCUACAAUGGUGCAUACAAAGGGAAGCGACCUAGCGAGAGCAAGCUGAUCUCAUAAAGCCGGUCGUAGUCCGGAUUGGAGUCUGCAACUCGACUCCAUGAAGUCGGAAUCGCUAGUAAUCGCGGAACAGAAUGUCCCGCCGAUACUG
rnacentral:rRNA from 1 species